AGGAGCCGAGCGGAGCGGGCUGCGACUUCUCCCCGUCACUAGUCUCCACAACUCUCGAGCUCCCUCCUCCGAGCUCCCCGCCCUCCGACUCCGGCGGCGCCUCCCCCCCGCCAGCCAAGUUAUAGCCGCUCGGGGCGGGGGGAGUGCGGGGGCCCGACGGCCGCGCGCCCGCGUACGCGCACGCGCACUGCUCGCUGGGGGCGCGCGAGCUGCAGCGGCGGCGGCGGCGGCGGCCGGCGCGGGGCGAGUGGGGGACGUCUCUGAGGAGAGGGAAGGAGGGACUCACGGAAGGGGAAGAGAAGCUGCAAUGUCUCACAGCGAAAAGUAGCAACAGUGUAGGAAGGUGGGAAGGACGAGGCGGCCCCGCGUCCCUGACGCCGCACGCCCCAGUUCGUGCGCGCCGGCUCUCCAGAGAGGGAGAGGGGCCGGGGGCGGGGCCGGCGGGCGGGGCGAGCGCGUCGCACCGCCCGGAAAGCGUAAGCGCGGGCUCGCGGGGGCGGCUUGGGGGCGGGCUCCGUGGGGGCGGAGCUCGAGCCUUGGAGGAGGGAUGAGCUCUCGAGCUCUGGAGGCGAAGCGACUUUCAGGACUAGUUAAUCUGUGAUCGUGGAGUUUUACUGGGGCCUGUCUCUUGCUGUUGUGGCGACGCUCCCCAAAGUGGGGGAAAAACCAAGAAAAGAAUUGCGGAAGCCUCGUGCCGUCCCCUCCCUCCGGGCGGUGCGCGGGCCGGGGCGGGGCGGGGCGGGGGGGGGGGCGGGGGGGGGGGCUGGGCGGUGUGGCCCGCGCCUCAAGCGGGGGCGCGCGCGGGGGCUGGGCGAGGCCGAGGGAGGCGGUGGGAGCCCGUGCGGCUUGGCCGGGGGAGGGCCUGCGGAGGGGACGUGGGACGGGCGUGAGAGGUGGCGGAGCGGCUGGGGCUCCGUCUUUAGCGGGUCUGUGGAGGCGUCUUAAUCUUCCUGAGUGGGCGCGGGGAAGGCGCAGCCCACCAGACGCCGUGUUAAAGGGAAAGUCGGUUGACGAGGGAAGCGACGCGGCCCGGGGCCGCCCGGAGUCCCGCCCCAGCGCUGCGAAGGAUCGGGGCAGAGCGGUGGGCAGCAUCCCCAGACUCCAUACUGUGUAAAGUAUGCGCAGAAGCUCCAGGGAGGAUUUUCUUAGUCUGGAGAGGUCAGCUCUGCUGCUGCUGAAUUGUAACUAGGCAAGUUAUUACUGAACUGCAAGUUUCUUGUCUCUGCCAUCUUUUCUACCUGUCCUGUUAUGUUUUGUUAGUACUAGAUAAUUUCUGUGGAAUUGCUUUAAAACAAUGAAAGCACUUCAUAUCUUUUUCUAUUUAUAGUGAGAAUGAAUGAUUCCAUUCACAUUCUUGCCAGUAAACUGAUUAAGCUGAGAGGAUUGGGCCAUAGGGAGAGACUAGUUACAGGAUUAAGGAGGUACUGUUUCUAUGUGUGGAAAAGGUCUUUGGAGUUCUUAAACUAUUUUCAGCCUCCAAAUCCUUGGAAUUGUAUGGGCAUCAUUUAAAGAGUGGAACUAAAAAAAAUUACUAGUCUAUAGUUGAAUUUUAAAAAAUGCUUCUUGUGUAUCUAAGUAUUUUACAUUUGUUUAAUAGCUCUGGUAUUCUUUUCAGUUAAGUUUUCUAGACUUUUAUAAAGAAAGAUAGUCUUCAAGAACUUAAUACAUUCCUCAAGGGGAAACAAAGGCUUAGAGCCAUGUGCGAGAAACUGAGUGUUCUGAAGUACCAGGUUAGGAUUUGACAAAAUGUCAGUAAGUGGAUGUUAAUGUACGUUACCCACCUGUCCUCUAAACUACAGAAUGCUUUUGACUAGAAUGGCUUAUAAGCAGACACCCAAAGUUCUUCCCCAUAAGGUUAAAUAAUGACAAAUAAUGUAAUUUCCAGUGUUUUGUAAAGUGUCAUUUUACGAUAACUGUCACUCUUUUAACUGUAUGGAAUGGAAUUAAGUGGCAUAGUGUUUUGAUGCCCAUCAUCUAUUUAAAAAAAGUGAACUAGCUCUCUCAUAGUCAAAGUUUUAGAGCGUAUUGCUAUUCUAUCCCCUACAGCAGUGGUUCUCAGUUAGGGACUGUUGCCUCCUAGGAACAGUGGGCACUAUCCGGAGACGUUUUUGGUA
rnacentral:lncRNA from 1 species